rnacentral:rRNA from 1 species
AGAGUUUGAUCCUGGCUCAGGAUGAACGCUGGCGGCGUGCUUAACACAUGCAAGUCGAACGAACCUUCGGGUUAGUGGCGGACGGGUGAGUAACGCGUGAAAUCUGCCCUCAGGAGGGGGAUAACGGCUGGAAACGGCCGCUAAUACUCCAUAUGCCGAGAGGUGAAACGAGUUUUCGCCUGAGGAUGAGCUCGCGUCUGAUUAGCUAGUUGGUGGGGUAAGAGCCUACCAAGGCAUCGAUCAGUAGCUGGUCUGAGAGGAUGAUCAGCCACACUGGGACUGAGGCACGGCCCAGACUCCUACGGGAGGCAGCAGGGGGGAAUUUUCCGCAAUGGGCGAAAGCCUGACGGAGCAACGCCGCGUGAGGGAUGAAGGCCCCUGGGCUGUAAACCUCUUUUAUCAAGGAAGAAGAUCUGACGGUACUUGAUGAAUAAGCCACGGCUAAUUCCGUGCCAGCAGCCGCGGUAAUACGGGAGUGGCAAGCGUUAUCCGGAAUUAUUGGGCGUAAAGCGUCCGCAGGCGGCCUGAUAAGUCUGUUGUCAAAGCGUGGAGCUCAACUCCAUUUCGGCAAUGGAAACUGUGAGGCUUGAGUGUGGUAGGGGCAGAGGGAAUUCCCGGUGUAGCGGUGAAAUGCGUAGAUAUCGGGAAGAACACCAGUGGCGAAGGCGCUCUGCUGGGCCAUAACUGACGCUCAUGGACGAAAGCCAGGGGAGCGAAAGGGAUUAGAUACCCCUGUAGUCCUGGCCGUAAACGAUGAACACUAGGUGUCGGGGGAAUCGACCCCCUCGGUGUCGUAGCCAACGCGUUAAGUGUUCCGCCUGGGGAGUACGCACGCAAGUGUGAAACUCAAAGGAAUUGACGGGGGCCCGCACAAGCGGUGGAGUAUGUGGUUUAAUUCGAUGCAACGCGAAGAACCUUACCAGGGUUUGACAUCCUGCGAAUCCCUUGGAAACGAGGGAGUGCCUUCGGGAGCGCAGAGACAGGUGGUGCAUGGCUGUCGUCAGCUCGUGUCGUGAGAUGUUGGGUUAAGUCCCGCAACGAGCGCAACCCACGUCUUUAGUUGCCAGCAUUGAGUUGGGCACUCUAGAGAGACCGCCGGUGAUAAACCGGAGGAAGGUGUGGAUGACGUCAAGUCAUCAUGCCCCUUACAUCCUGGGCUACACACGUACUACAAUGCUACGGACAAAGGGCAGCAAACUCGCGAGAGCUAGCAA